rnacentral:rRNA from 1 species
GAUGAACGCUGGCGGCGUGCCUAAUACAUGCAAGUCGAGCGAACGGACGAGAAGCUUGCUUCUCUGAUGUUAGCGGCGGACGGGUGAGUAACACGUGGAUAACCUACCUAUAAGACUGGGAUAACUUCGGGAAACCGGAGCUAAUACCGGAUAAUAUUUUGAGCCGCAUGGUUCAAAAGUGAAAGACGGUCUUGCUGUCACUUAUAGAUGGAUCCGCGCUGCAUUAGCUAGUUGGUAAGGUAACGGCUUACCAAGGCAACGAUGCAUAGCCGACCUGAGAGGGUGAUCAGCCACACUGGAACUGAGACACGGUCCAGACUCCUACGGGAGGCAGCAGUAGGGAAUCUUCCGCAAUGGGCGAAAGCCUGACGGAGCAACGCCGCGUGAGUGAUGAAGGUCUUCGGAUCGUAAAACUCUGUUAUUAGGGAAGAACAUAUGUGUAAGUAACUGUGCACAUCUUGACGGUACCUAAUCAGAAAGCCACGGCUAACUACGUG